UACGAGGGGGGCAAGCGUUGUCCGGAUUUAUUGGGCGUAAAGAGCGUGUAGGCGGCUGGGUAGGUCCGCUGUGAAAACUCGAGGCUUAACCUCGAGACGUCGGUGGAAACCAUCCAGCUAGAGUCCGGAAGAGGAGAGUGGAAUUCCUGGUGUAGCGGUGAAAUGCGCAGAUAUCAGGAAGAACACCCGUGGCGAAAGCGGCUCUCUGGGACGGUACUGACGCUGAGACGCGAAAGCGUGGGGAGCGAACAGG
rnacentral:rRNA from 1 species